CUCCACAAAGAGAAAAUGGCGGAAUGGGCCUUCGCCUCCCUUUUAUAACGGCUGUACUCAACCGCUGUAUCUUGGAAGCUUUGUUUUGAUUGGGUGAGAAGGAACUUUUUUCGACAACUCUUAUUGGAUAAUAGUCUCCUGCUCUGACUGGAUAAUCUUAACUAAUCAGAGUUGGAGACUUAUCCAAUCUGUGUUGUAGUACAGAGUCUGCUCUCAUCCUAUCAGAAAGAGGCUUCCAGGGUAUGUCAUUUGAAUACAGACAUUAUAAAAGGGAGGCAAAGAUCUGCACCUGCCGUGGAGGUUGGGCUCAUGUGCUCCUCUGCAUUGGAGUUAGCCAAGGAGCGUGUGCAGAACACUUGCCUCAUAGGCCAGCCGUAGAGAAGGAUGUCCCAGGUGCAGGCGAAGUUUUGUUCAUGUGUUCCUGGAGGAUUUUUCCCGUGGCAAGCGCUUCUCCAUCCUCCAGCAUCUCAGGCCUGGCUGGCCACUCAGUAUUCCUUGUCCCUGGCCUCGCAGCCCACCCGGGAAGCCACAGUGACCAGCCACCAGGUGUGCCAUCACGGAGGAAGUCCAGGUUGGAGAGGUGGUCUCCUUCUGUGAGCAGGUCCACCUCUCCCCCCACUGAGGCCCCUUUCUGCCUGUGACAGCCCCACCUCAAGGGCCAUGGCACAGCCAUCAGCUCCAGCUGCCAGCAUGCUACUGCCAUGCCCCGAGUGUCCAUCUGGGCCCCGGUUCAUGACCUGUUGUCUUUCUGUAUCUACUUUCUGCAGCCCCUCACUGAGGAGGCCUCCUGGGUUUGUCCAGUGCCUGCUAUUAAAGCUUUGCUCCAAGUUCAA
rnacentral:lncRNA from 1 species